AUCGCUUCUCAACUUUUGGUGAAGAUCAAGUAUGAUAUGUUCUUAUCAGCUUAAUAUCUGAUAUAUCCGCUAUCCAAUGAAAGCACAUUAAAUGGAUUUUUGGAGAAGGAAGACCAAAAAUGAGCUUGUGCUGUCCACUCCACAUAACAACCAGGAAUUGUAGUACUUCCAGGAAUGAUGUCCCCUCG
ensembl:snRNA U2 U2 spliceosomal RNA